rnacentral:tRNA from 1 species
CCUUAGGUAAGCUAACUAAGCUAUCGGGCUCAUAACCCGAAAAUGGGGGACCCCUGAGGA